rnacentral:rRNA from 1 species
GGAGUUUGGUCCGUGUCUCAGUACCAAUGUGGGGGACCUUCCUCUCAGAACCCCUACUGAUCGUUGCCCCGGUGGGCCGUUACCCCGCCGGCAAGCUAAUCAGACGCAUCCCCAUCCCUUACCGAUGAAUCUUUGCUCCUCGUUAGAUGCCUGCAAAGGAGAACAUAGAGUAUUAAUCCGACUUUCGCCGGGCUGUGCCCUACUAAGGGGAAGGUUGGAUACGCGUUACUCACCCGUGCGCCGGUCGCCAUCUAUCAAAGCAAGCUCCGAUAAUGAUGCCCCUCGACUUGCAUGUGUUAAGCCUGUAGCUAGCGUUCAUC